CUCGUUAAGGGAUUUAGAUUGUACUCUUCCAAUUACCAGACUCGAUCGAGCCCGGCAUUGUCAUUCAAAUUUCUGCCCUAUCAACUUUCGAUGGUAGGAUAGUGGCCUACCAUGGUUGACGGGUGACGGAGAAUUAGGGUUCGCCGGAG
rnacentral:ncRNA from 1 species